GGACGAACGCUGGCGGCGUGCUUAACACAUGCAAGUCGAACGGAAAGGCCCUGCUUUUGUGGGGUGCUCGAGUGGCGAACGGGUGAGUAACACGUGAGUAACCUGCCCUUGACUUUGGGAUAACUUCAGGAAACUGGGGCUAAUACCGGAUAGGAGCUCCUGCUGCAUGGUGGGGGUUGGAAAGUUUCGGCGGUUGGGGAUGGACUCGCGGCUUAUCAGCUUGUUGGUGGGGUAGUGGCUUACCAAGGCUUUGACAGGUAGCCGGCCUGAGAGGGUGACCGGCCACAUUGGGACUGAGAUACGGCCCAGACUCCUACGGGAGGCAGCAGUGGGGAAUAUUGCACAAUGGGCGGAAGCCUGAUGCAGCAACGCCGCGUGCGGGAUGACGGCCUUCGGGUUGUAAACCGCUUUCGCCUGUGACGAAGCGUGAGUGACGGUAAUGGGUAAAGAAGCACCGGCUAACUACGUG
rnacentral:rRNA from 1 species